AGUGAACGCUGGCGGCGUGCCUAAUACAUGCAAGUCGAACGGAGAUUAAGUAGCUUGCUAUUUAAUCUUAGUGGCGCACGGGUGAGUAAUAUAUAGCUAACUUGCCCAUUACUAAGGGACAACAGUUGGAAACGACUGCUAAUACCUUAUACUCCGUAUCUAUAUAAGUAGAUACGGGAAAGUUUUUCGGUAAUGGAUAGGGCUAUAUCGUAUCAGCUAGUUGGUAAGGUAAUGGCUUACCAAGGCUAUGGCACGUAACUGGUCUGAGAGGAUGAUCAGUCACACUGGAACUGAGACACGGUCCAGACUCCUACGGGAGGCAGCAGUAGGGAAUAUUGCUCAAUGGGGGAAACCCUGAAGCAGCAACGCCGCGUGGAGGAUGACACUUUUCGGAGCGUAAACUCCUUUUCUUGGGAAAGAAUUAUGACGGUACCCAAGGAAUAAGCACCGGCUAACUCCGUG
rnacentral:rRNA from 1 species